rnacentral:rRNA from 1 species
CGUAGGCUGAUUUGUAAGUCAGUGGUGAAAUCUCACCAGCUUAACUGUGAAACUGCCAUUGAUACUGCAAGUCUUGAGUGUUGUUGAAGUAGCUGGAAUAAGUAGUGUAGCGGUGAAAUGCAUAGAUAUUACUUAGAACACCAAUUGCGAAGGCAGGUUACUAAGCAACAACUGACGCUGAUGGACGAAAGCGUGGGGAGCGAACAGGAUUAGAUACCCUGGUAGUCCACGCCGUAAACGAUGCUAACUCGUUUUUGGGCUUUUGGGUUCAGAGACUAAGCGAAAGUGAUAAGUUAGCCACCUGGGGAGUACGAACGCAAGUUUGAAACUCAAAGGAAUUGACGGGGGCCCGCACAAGCGGUGGAUUAUGUGGUUUAAUUCGAUGAUACGCGAGGAACCUUACCAAGGCUUAAAUGGGAAAUGACAGGCUUAGAAAUAGGCUUUUCUUCGGACAUUUUUCAAGGUGCUGCAUGGUUGUCGUCAGCUCGUGCCGUGAGGUGUUAGGUUAAGUCCUGCAACGAGCGCAACCCCUGUCACUAGUUGCCAUCAUUAAGUUGGGGACUCUAGUGAGACUGCCUACGCAAGUAGAGAGGAAGGUGGGGAUGACGUCAAAUCAUCACGGCCCUUACGCCUUGGGCCACACACGUAAUACAAUGGCCGGUACAGAGGGCAGCUACACAGCGAUGUGAUGCAAAUCUCGAAAGCCGGUCUCAGUUCGGAUUGGAGUCUGCAACUCGACUCUAUGAAGCUGGAAUCGC